AUUGAACGCUGGCGGCAGGCCUAACACAUGCAAGUCGAGCGCGCGGCGGACGGGGGAGUGAUGUCUGGGAGACUGCCUGAUGGAGGGGGAUAACUACUGGAAAAGGUAGCUAAUACCGCAUACCAUCAGAUGUGCCCCGAUGGGAUUAGCUCGUAGGUGGGGUAAAGGCUCACCUAGGCGACGAGCCCUAGCUGGUCUGAGAGGAUGACCAGCCACACUGGAACUGAGACACGGUCCAGACGCCUACGGGAGGCAGCAGUGGGGAAUAUUGCACAAUGGGCGCAAGCCUGAUGCAGCCAUGCCGCGUGUGUGAAGAAGGCCUUCGGGUUGUAAAGCACUUUCAGCGGGGAGGCGUUACCCGCAGAAGAAGCACCGGCUAACUCCGUGCCAGCAGCCGCGGUAAUUC
rnacentral:rRNA from 1 species